CCAAGCACGUCGGGUAUUGUUUAAAGAAUAUCAGCCAGCUGGGAUUAGACACGGCCCAGACUCCUGCGGAAGCAGCAGUGGGAAUAUUGACAAUGGGCGCAAGCUUGAUCCAGCCAUGCCGCGUGAGUGAUGAAGGCCCUAGGGUUGUAAAGCUCUUUCGCCAGGGACGAUAAUGACGGUACCUGGAUAAGAAGCCCCGGCUAACUUCGUGCCAGCAGCCGCGGUAAUACGAAGGGGGCUAGCGUUGUUCGGAAUCACUGGGCGUAAAGCGCACGUAGGCGGAUUGUUAAGUCAGGGGUGAAAUCCCGAGGCUCAACCUCGGAACUGCCUUUGAUACUGGCGAUCUAGAGUCCGGGAGAGGUGAGUGGAACUGCGAGUGUAGAGGUGAAAUUCGUAGAUAUUCGCAAGAACACCAGUGCCGAAGGCGGCUCACUGGCCCGGAACUGACGCUGAGGUG
rnacentral:rRNA from 1 species